UACAGAGGUCUCAAGCGUUGUUCGGAUUCAUUGGGCGUAAAGGGUGCGUAGGCGGCGCGGUAAGUCGGAUGUGAAAUCUCGGGGCUUAACUCCGAAACUGCAUUCGAUACUGCCGUGCUUGAGGACUGGAGAGGAGACUGGAAUUUACGGUGUAGCGGUGAAAUGCGUAGAUAUCGUAAGGAAGACCAGUGGCGAAGGCGGGUCUCUGGACAGUUCCUGACGCUGAGGCACGAAGGUCCAGGGGAGCAAAACGGGGAU
rnacentral:rRNA from 1 species